UACGUAGGGGGCAAGCGUUGUCCGGAAUCAUUGGGCGUAAAGCGCGUGUAGGCGGCCAGAUAAGUCCGCUGUGAAAUCUCGAGGCUCAACUUCGAGCUGUCGGUGGAAACUGUCUGGCUAGAGUCCGGAAGAGGAGAAUGGAAUUCCUGGUGUAGCGGUGAAAUGCGCAGAUAUCAGGAAGAACACCCGUGGCGAAGGCGGCUCUCUGGGACGGUACUGACGCUGAGACGCGAAAGCGUGGGGAGCGAACAGG
rnacentral:rRNA from 1 species